UAGUGGCGAACGGGUGAGUAACACGUGGGCAAUCUGCCCUUCACUCUGGGACAAGCCCUGGAAACGGGGUCUAAUACCGGAUAACACCUGCCCGGGCAUCUGGGUGGGUUAAAAGCUCCGGCGGUGAAGGAUGAGCCCGCGGCCUAUCAGCUUGUUGGUGAGGUAGUGGCUCACCAAGGCGACGACGGGUAGCCGGCCUGAGAGGGCGACCGGCCACACUGGGACUGAGACACGGCCCAGACUCCUACGGGAGGCAGCAGUGGGGAAUAUUGCACAAUGGGCGAAAGCCUGAUGCAGCGACGCCGCGUGAGGGAUGACGGCCUUCGGGUUGUAAACCUCUUUCAGCAGGGAAGAAGCGAAAGUGACGGUACCUGCAGAAGAAGCGCCGGCUAACUACGUGCCAGCAGCCGCGGUAAUACGUAGGGCGCAAGCGUUGUCCGGAAUUAUUGGGCGUAAAGAGCUCGUAGGCGGCUUGUCACGUCGGGUGUGAAAGCCCGGGGNCUUAACCCCGGGUCUGCAUUCGAUACGGGCUAGCUAGAGUGUGGUAGGGGAGAUCGGAAUUCCU
rnacentral:rRNA from 1 species